AUUGAACGCUGGCGGCAGGCCUAACACAUGCAAGUCGAGCGAGCGGCGGACGGGUGAGUAAUGUUUAGGAAACUGCCUGAUGGAGGGGGAUAACUACUGGCAACGGUAGCUAAUACCGCAUACCAUCAGAUGUGCCCAGGUGGGAUUAGCUCGUUGGUGGGGUAACGGCUCACCUAGGCGACGAUCCCUAGCUGGUCUGAGAGGUUGACCAGCCACACUGGAACUGAUACACGGUCCAGCCUCCUCCGGGAGGCAGCAGUGGGGAAUGUUGCACAAUGGGCGGAAGCCUGAUGCAGCCAUGCCGCGUGUGUGAAGAAGGCCUUCGGGUUGUAAAGCACUUUCGGCGGGGAGGCGUUACCCGAAGAAGAAGCACCGGCUAACUCCGUGCCAGCAGCCGCGGUAAUUC
rnacentral:rRNA from 1 species